UACGGGGGGGCAAGCGUUGUUCGGAAUUACUGGGCGUAAAGGGCUCGUAGGCGGCCAACUAAGUCAGACGUGAAAUCCCUCGGCUUAACCGGGGAACUGCGUCUGAUACUGGUUGGCUUGAAUCCGGGAGAGGGAUGUGGAAUUCCAGGUGUAGCGGUGAAAUGCGUAGAUAUCUGGAGGAACACCGGUGGCGAAGGCGGCAUCCUGGACCGGUAUUGACGCUGAGGAGCGAAAGCCAGGGGAGCAACGGG
rnacentral:rRNA from 1 species